ACGUUGGGAUCUGCCCCGAACUCAGGGAUAACCUGCCGAAAGGCAUGGUUAAUACCGGAUAGUCCCGCAAGGGUAAAGCUUUUGCGGUUCGGGAGGAACCUGCGGCCUAUCAGCUAGUUGGUGAGGUAACGGCCCACCAAGGCGAUGACAGGUAGCUGGUCUGAGAGGACGACCAGUCACAAUGGAACUGAGACACGGUCCAUACUCCUACGGGAGGCAGCAGUAAAGAAUCUUUCACAAUGGGGGAAACCCUGAUGGAGCAAUACCGCGUGGUCGAUGAAGGUCGAAAGAUCGUAAAGGCCUUUUCUGGGAGAAGAAUUCUGACGGUAUCCCAGGAAUAAGCACCGGCUAACUCCGUGCCAGCAGCCGCGGUAAUACGGAGGGUGCAAGCGUUAUCCGGAAUUACUGGGCGUAAAGCGUCCGCAGGCUGUUUGUUAAGUCAGAUGUUAAAUCUUGGAGCCCAACUUCAAGCCCACAUUUGAAACUAUCAAACUAGAGUACUUCAGAGGUGUGUAGAAUUCUGUGUGUAGGGGUUAAAUCCGUAGAUAUACAGAGGAAUACCAAAAGCGAAAGCAGCACACUGGGAAGUAACUGACGCUCAGGGACGAAAGCGUAGGUAGCGAACGGGAUUAGAUACCCCGGUAGUCUACGCCGUAAACGAUGGAUACUAGGUGUUGGAGGUCUCGACCCCUUCAGUGCCGAAGCUAACGCAUUAAGUAUCCCGCCUGGGAAGUACGAACGCAAGUUUAAAACUCAAAGGAAUAGACGGGGACCCACACAAGCGGUGGAGCACCUGGUUUAAUUCGACAAUAAGCGAGGAACCUUACCUGGACUUGACAUCCCGAGAAUUUCCUAGAAAUAGGAAAGUGCCUUCUGGAACUCGGUGACAGGUGCUGCAUGGUUGUCGUCAGCUCGUGCCUUGAGGUGUACGGUUAAGUCCGUUAAGGAGCGCAACCCAUCUCUUAUGUUGUUUUUUCUUAAGAGACGGCCGAUUCAAAGUCGGAGGAAGGU
rnacentral:rRNA from 1 species